rnacentral:lncRNA from 1 species
GGAGCAGGAGGCCAUUGCAGUCGAGCUGGAUAAGCGUGUACUACACAGCGUCAUCCCUCUACAUCAUGUAAGUAUCCAGUCAGUGGGUCUCAAGCCCUUGGGGGAUCGUGUGCCCCCCUUGAAGCUCUGUCUGCUGGGCAUGUGACAUCCUUUUUGGCCAGCCCUGAGUGGUGGGAAGAGAAGCGCUUGUCAGUGGACCCCAGGAAAGGGAUUGCUCUGGCAGCAGCCCCACUCUCAGCCCUUUCUCCUUCAGGCACCGGGCAUCUUGAGGAGCAUCUACCAGUGGCUCGUGUCCAACACAGAACAGUCUGCCCAGCACCGCCUGGACAAGAGCCUUCUGGAACUGGCCGAGGAGCACCCCCACGACGUGGUGGUGACUCUGCUGCGCUGCUCCCCAGCGUGCGACAGAGCUGCCGUGACCAUGUGGAGGGUGAUGGUCGUCUCAUCCCGGACUAAAAAGAAGGUGAUGGCAGAGCUGUGCCGCGUGCUGAAGGACUGGCCCUUUCACAGGACGUCCACCUCUGACGGGGACAACACGGAUGUCUUCGCCCUGGCCGCAACCAGGGUGCUGUGGGAGCUCCUUCGGCCAGCCAACUACCCAAUGGAGGAGGAGAUGAGCUUCUCUCUACCCCUGAUGGUGUUGCUCUUCCAAAUCUUCGCAAGCGCGCAGCAGACACCAGAAGAGGUGGAGACCUUCUUCAGGGAAUGCCAGCAGGAGGAGGGCAUUGCCACCAGCCCUAGCAGGUGCUUCGUCCCCCUCCUCCCAU